AGUGAACGCUGGCGGUAGGCCUAACACAUGCAAGUCGAACGGCAGCACAGUAAGAGCUUGCUCUUACGGGUGGCGAGUGGCGGACGGGUGAGGAAUACAUCGGAAUCUACUUUUUCGUGGGGGAUAACGUAGGGAAACUUACGCUAAUACCGCAUACGACCUACGGGUGAAAGCAGGGGAUCUUCGGACCUUGCGCGAUUGAAUGAGCCGAUGUCGGAUUAGCUAGUUGGCGGGGUAAAGGCCCGCCAAGGCGACGAUCCGUAGCUGGUCUGAGAGGAUGAUCAGCCACACUGGAACUGAGACACGGUCCAGACUCCUACGGGAGGCAGCAGUGGGGAAUAUUGGACAAUGGGCGCAAGCCUGAUCCAGCCAUACCGCGUGGGUGAAGAAGGCCUUCGGGUUGUAAAGCCCUUUUGUUUGGAAAGAAAAGCAGCAGGUUAAUACCCCGCUGUUCUGACGGUACCCAAAGAAUAAGCACCGGCUAACUUCGUG
rnacentral:rRNA from 1 species